CGGUAAAACGUAGGGGUCGAGCGUUAUCCGGAUUUACUGGGCGUAAAGCGCAUGUAGGCGGUUGCUUAAGUCGGACGUGAAAGCUCCUGGCUCAACUGGGAGAGGUCGUUCGAAACUGGGCAACUCGAGGGUGGUAGAGGAGAGUGGAAUUCCCGGUGUAGUGGUGAAAUGCGUAGAUAUCGGGAGGAACACCAGUGGCGAAGGCGGCUCUCUGGGCCAUUCCUGACGCUGAGAUGCGAAAGCUAGGGGAGAGAACGGGAUUAGAAACCCCGGUAUUCCUAGCCGUAAACGAUGUCAACUAGGUGUAGGAGGUUAUUGACCCCUUCUGUGCUGUAGCUAACGCGUUAAGUUGACCGCCUGGGGACUACGGCCGCAAGGCUAAAACUCAAAGGAAUUGACGGGGACCCGCACAAGCAGCGGAGCGUGUGGUUUAAUUCGAGGCUACGCGAAGAACCUUACCAGGGUUUGACAUGGCGGUGGUAGGGAGCCGAAAGGUGACCGACCCUUCGGGGAGCCGUCACAGGUGCUGCAUGGCUGUCGUCAGCUCGUGCCGUGAGGUGUUAGGUUAAGUCCUGUAACGAGCGCAACCCACGUCGUUAGUUAUACGUGUCUAACGAGACUGCCGGUGAUAAGCCGGAGGAAGGUGUGGAUGACGUCAAGUCAGCAUGGCCUUUAUAUCCUGGGCUACACACACGCUACAAUGGCCGGUACAAUGGGCAGCGAAGCCGCGAGGCGGAGCCAAUCCUCCAAAGCCGGUCUCAGUUCGGAUUGCAGGCUGCAACUCGCCUGCAUGAAGUCGGAGUUGCUAGUAACCGCGCGUCAGCAAUAGUGCGGUGAAUACGUUCCCGGG
rnacentral:rRNA from 1 species